GAUGAACGCUGGCGGCGUGCUUAACACAUGCGAGUCGAACGAGAAAUGUAGACGGAAACCUUCGGGCGGAAGCCUUCAUUUCGAGUGGCGGACGGGUGAGUAACGCGUGGGUAACCUGCCUCAUACAGGGGGAUAACAGUUGGAAACGACUGUUAAUACCGCAUAAGACCACAGCAUCGCAUGAUGCGGGGGUAAAAACUCCGGUGGUAUGAGAUGGACCCGCGUUCGAUUAGCCAGUUGGCGGGGUAACGGCCCACCAAAGCGACGAUCGAUAGCCGAUCUGAGAGGAUGACCGGCCACAUUGGGACUGAGACACGGCCCAAACUCCUACGGGAGGCAGCAGUGGGGAAUAUUGCACAAUGGGGGAAACCCUGAUGCAGCGACGCCGCGUGAGUGAAGAAGUACUUCGGUAUGUAAAGCUCUAUCAGCAGGGAAGAAAAUGACGGUACCUGAGUAAGAAGCCCCGGCUAACUACGUG
rnacentral:rRNA from 1 species